rnacentral:tRNA from 1 species
UCCUUGGUGCCUCAGUGGUAAAGAAUCUGCCUGCAACGUAGGAGACUCAGGUUCGAUCCCUGGGUCAGGAA